AGGACGGACGCUUGCAGGAUUCGAGAGGGCAACUUCGGUUGUGAAAAUUCCUCUGUACUUUUUUCAUUCGAAACUCAAACAUGGAAGUAGGGGGACUGGUAUUGGGUAUAAAAUACCCCCCAAUCGAAGUUCGUGUCGGGAGUGACCCUCCAGGGAUUCUACCGACGCCCGACCUUCAGCGACAUCUUUUCGAACCUCCACGACGAUCGAGCCUCCACAAUGUUCCCAAGUUCUGUCGAUGGAUAAACCUCCACCAGUGUUGACCGGAUUCUCCACG
rnacentral:lncRNA from 1 species